GCCCGGUGCACAAAUUCGUGCACAGGUGGGUCCCUCAGCCUGGCUGGGAUUGGGCCGUUGUGGCUCUCUUGCCAUCCUGAUUGGGGCUGACUGGGACCGGCUGGUGGGAAGGGCCGCAGGAGGUUGGCUGGCCGGGUUGUGGGAGUGCACGGCCCAUCCAGUGGCAGCUCCUGCACUGAGUGUCAGUGUGCGUCAUAGUGACCGGUGGAUCCGUCACUCAGUUAUUCUGUUGUUCUGUUGCUUAGGCUUUUAUAUAUAUAGAUUCUGGCCCUGUUAUCUACUACUACUAUAGCUUAACAGUGGACUUGGCAUACAAAACAAAGUGUUCAGCAAGUUUAAAAAAGUUCCUUUGCAGUGAGUGUAAUGUUGUCCAUUUAAAAAAAUAAAAUCCUAGUUAUAUUUUAAAGCUUGCCUUAAAAAACAAUCAUAUUACUGUACAGUUAAAAACAAGGAAUACUUCCUGGUUUCUUUUUAAAAUAUAUAUUUUUUUAUUGAUUUGAGAGAGAGGAAGGGGGAGAGAAAAAAUAAUGAGAAUCUUCGAUUGGCUGGGGAUCAAGCCCACAACCCUGCCAUGUUCCCUGACCAAGAAUUGAACCCUGACAUACUGGUUCAUGGCUCCACAUUCAAGCAUUGAGCCACACAUCCUAAUUUCUUAAACCAAUGGUAGUAUAAGACUUGAAGCUAAUAGAUUGGGUCACUUUGCAAAUUAUUUUAAAAAUGUUGUUAAAUAAAAUACAUGCUAAGUCUUCCUGGUUAAGAAAUGAUAAAUUUAUUGCUAUUUGAGGGUUAGGGUGCCUAGGCUAUGAGGUUUACCAAAUGGCUAGACUAGUGAAUGACAUCUGUCCUAAUGUUUAUUGAUCCUAAUCAUCUUGGCAGCCACCAAAGGAAGGACUUGGCAUUGAUUCGAGAAGGGUAUCAGGAAGGAAAAUGCUGUUGACAAGGUCUUGCCUACUCUUACUGACACAACACUGAAUGCAGUCUACGCUAAUCAUAUUACAGCCACCAAAUACUACGUUUUUAAGAAGCCUGGACGUGACACUCAUUUAAGAGGCUGCACAAGUUGGGGAAAAUUUGACGAGUACUCAUCAAAGCUGGUAUUUAACAAGCUGUGCAGGCCACCUGUGUCCUUGGCUUCAGUUUACAAAUAUAUGUAACAUAUAAAACUAGGCAACUGGAUUAAAUAACUAAGGCUGCUUCUAGCUCUAGCAUACUAUGGUCACAUCUUACCCAGGGUGAGAGAAGCCUCUGUUGGCUGGU